UCUUUCUUCUUCCUCUCUCUAUGAACUUGGACCUUUUAUUUUCUAGCCACUUCCUUUCUUCUACCUUCCAAACUGCAUCUAGAACCCUGCUGAGUAUCCCCUUUUCCAAGAAGCACAUCUAUAUUUUCCACCUAUCCACUUAUCUAUCCAUCUAUCAUUCAACAAGUGUUUAUUAAGCAUCUACUAUGGCUGUAGGAGAAUAUCCAGAGGGCAUCUGGAGACUGGAGUGUUCUCCUUGUAGGAUAUCAGCGCAGGUAUGUGUUACAAAUUUAGAUAAAGCCAAUAUUAUAAAACAACAUAGUGUUUGAAAUUACAAGGACCAAAUUCAAGUUCCAGCUUUUCAAAUUCUUAGCCAAGCAAUAUUUAAUAGGUAAGCUUGAGUUUCUUUUUAAGUUAUGCUGAUUAUUUAAAAAUCCAAAUAAUACAAAAGUUUAUAUAGUAAAAAAUGGAAGUUUUCCAAAUCCUACUCCCUAGAGGUAGCUACUCUUGUCACUUUGCUGCAUAUUUUGCAGACGUUUCUCUAUAUAGUCUGCCUACCCAUAUAUAUGUAUCUUCCCAUA
rnacentral:lncRNA from 1 species